UCACGUUAAAACACCAGUUCCUGUAUGCUCACUGAGGUUAAGCAACAUCAAGCAUGGUCAGUACUUAGAUGGGUGAGCACUUAAGAAUACCAGGUGUUGUAAG